GACACACUGCAGCUGCUGGUUUGCAGAGCAUGGCUCCAGGAGGCAUGCUGAUCCCCAUCCGUGGCAGGGAAAAUUAUCCCCAGCACUUUCUGCAGGCAGCAGGGCACCGCUGCUCUGCUCUUACCUGACAAUCAGGAACCCAGAAAUUCACAUCUCUUACUAAGAUAAGCUAGCUGCUCUUACAGGGAAAGAAACAGAGAGUUGCAGCCCUUUCUGUUGGGUUUACUGGAAUGAGGCUCACCAGCUACUUCCAUGAACUAGUGUGCGAUAGUUCUAUUCAGGCAGUUGGGCUUAGAUUCUGUUAGAGGAUGCUCACUUCAGCUGCAUUAUCCAAGAGGAAAUGGUACUGCCAGAUUAUGAUGGUGCUUUAUUGCUGAGAAACUUCAAGUUCCUGAUGAUGUUACCCACAGACAAGAGAAAGACAUGCACAUAGCACAUAAUUUCAGAGAUUUUGUAACAAUUCUUAAGAAUUAUUAAUAUUAUACAAGAAAAAAAAAGAGGAGGGGAGAGAAGAAGAGAGUAACAUGCUAGUAUUUGUCAGGCCUCAAUACUUUUUGUUGUUGUUGUUUAUAUUUUGUGUUUGUAGUGUUGGGUCUUCAUUAAGUCACAUGGGUUUGUUAAGAAGGUCAGGUCAUAUAUUAUCAAUGUAAGCAGCUGUGCUUGAACAGCAGUGGGUGUUUCUAACUAAUGGAUAUGUUAUUAUAGUAAGAUACAUGCUUAAAAUGUAACUGUGGUAUUUUUUCUUUAAAAGCACAGCUCCAGUGCUAAAGACCUAAUGCUGUACCUUUAGUUCUGAAUAAAUCUUUGCUAUUCCA